rnacentral:tRNA from 1 species
GCCCCCGUAGCUCAGGUGGAUAGAGCAGCAGAUUCCUAAUCUGCGUGCCGGACGUUCGAAUCGUCUCGGGGGCACCA